GAUGAAGAACGCAGCGAAAUGCGAUACGUAAUGUGAAUUGCAGAAUUCAGUGAAUCAUCGAGUCUUUGAACGCACAUUGCGCCCCCUGGUAUUCCGGGGGGCAUGCCUGUCCGAGCGUCAUUGCUGCCCUCAAGCACGGCUUGUGUGUUGGGCCUCCGUCCUCCUCCCUGGGGACGGGCCCGAAAGGCAGCGGCGGCACCGCGUCCGGUCCUCGAGCGUAUGGGGCUUCGUCACCCGCUCUUGUAGGCCCGGCCGGCGCUUGCCGACACAUCAAUCUUUUUUCCAGGUUGACCUCGGAUCAGGUAGGGAUACCCGCUGAACUUAAGCAUAUCAAUAAGCGGAGGA
rnacentral:misc_RNA from 1 species